rnacentral:rRNA from 1 species
UGGGGAAUAUUGCACAAUGGAGGGAACUCUGAUGCAGCGACGCCGCGUGAGUGAUGAAGGAAUUCGUUUCGUAAAACUCUGUUCUAUGGGAAGAAAAGGACUGUACCAUAGGAGAAAGCUCUGGCUAAAUACGUGCCAGCAGCCGCGGUAAUACGUAUGGAGCGAGCGUUGUCCGGAAUUAUUGGGCGUAAAGGGUGCGCAGGCGGGUUUACAAGUUGGAUGUGAAAUAUUGUGGCUCAACCACAAACGUGCAUCCAAAACUGGAAAGCUUGAGUUAAGGAGAGGGAAGUGGAAUUCCUGGUGUAGCGGUGGAAGGCGUAGAUAUCAGGAGGAAUAACGGUGGAGAAGGCGACUUACUGGACUUAAGCUGACGCUGAGGGACGGAAGCGUGGGGAGCAAACAGG